UACGUAGGAGGCGAGCGCUAUCCGGAAUGACUGGGCGUAAAGGGUGCGUAGGUGGUUUGACAAGUUGGUAGCGUAACUCCGAGGCUCAACCUCGGCACUACUACCAAAACUGUCGGACUUGAGUGCAGGAGGGGCAAUUGGAAUUCCUAGUGUAGCGGUGGAAUGCGCAGAUAUUAGGAGGAACACCAGUGGCGAAGGCGGCCUGCUGGACAUUAACUGACGCUGAGGCGCGAAAGCGUGGGGAGCAAACAGG
rnacentral:rRNA from 1 species